UACGUAGGGUGCGAGCGUUGUCCGGAAUUAUUGGGCGUAAAGGGCUCGUAGGCGGUCUGUCGCGUCGAAAGUGAAAACCCAGGGCUUAACCCUGGGCCUGCUUCCGAUACGGGCAGACUAGAGGUAUGCAGGGGAGAACGGAAUUCCUGGUGUAGCGGUGAAAUGCGCAGAUAUCAGGAGGAACACCGGUGGCGAAGGCGGUUCUCUGGGCAUUACCUGACGCUGAGGAGCGAAAGUGUGGGGAGCAAACGGG
rnacentral:rRNA from 1 species